GGCUAAGACGGGUAGGGGGCGUGAGAGCGCGAUCCCCCACACUGGCACUGAGACACGGGCCAGACUCCUACGGGAGGCAGCAGUGAGGAAUAUUGCGCAAUGGACGAAAGUCUGACGCAGCGACGCCGGGUGGGCGAUGAAGCCCUUCGGGGUCGUAAACCCUUUCCUGGGGGAAGAAGAAAGGCCGGUACCCCAGGAAUAAGCCCCGGCAACUACGGUGCCAGCAGCCGCGGUUAAACGUUAGGGGGCAAGCCGUAACCCGAAUUUACUGUGCGUAAAGAGCGUUGAGGCGGUUUGGUAAGUUGGGCGUGAAGCCCUGGGCCUAACUCAGGGAAGCCCGUUCAAUACUGCGAAACUUGAGGGCAGCAGAGGGGAAGGUGGAAUUCCCGGAGUAAGCGGUGAAAUGCCGUAGAAUAUCGGGAAGGAACACCAAGUGGGCGAAGGGCGGCCUCCUGGGCUGCUCCUGACGCCUGAAGGCGAAAGCUAGGGGAGCGAACGGGAUUAGAAACCCCGGUAGUCCUAGCCGUAAACGAUGGAUGCUAGGUGUGGGGGGUGUAGAUUCCCUCCGUGCCGCAGUUAACGCGUUAAGCAUCCCGCCUGGGGAGUACGGCCGCAAGGCUAAAACUCAAACGAAUUGACGGGGGCCCGCACAAGCAGCGGAGCGUGUGGUUUAAUUCGAUGCUACACGAAGAACCUUACCUGGGCUUGACAUACAGGUAGUAGUGAAGCGAAAGCGGAUCGAUCCCUUCGGGGAGCCUGUACAGGUGCUGCAUGGCUGUCGUCAGCUCGUGCCGUGAGGUGUCGGGUUAAGUCCCGUAACGAGCGCAACCCUUGCUCUUAGUUAUACGUGUCUAAGAGGACUGCCGGCGGUAAGCCGGAGGAAGGUGGGGAUGACGUCAAGUCAGCAUGGCCUUUAUGUCCAGGGCUACACACACGCUACAACGGCCGGUACAAUGGGUAGCUAAACCGCGAGGUGGAGCCAAUCCUGUAAAGCCGGUCUCAGUUCGAAUUGCAGGCUGCAACUCGCCUGCAUGAAGUCGGAGUUGCUAGUAAUCGCAGGUCAGCAAUACUGCGG
rnacentral:rRNA from 1 species